CAUUUUAAUCAUUGGGAAAAAAAGAACAGAUUUGGACUCUAUUUUGAAAGCCAGUUCAAACCAAAAAAAACACGGACACUUGUAAUUUUUUUCAUAUGAGGCACUUAUUCUCUAGCCAUUGAUAAGAAUCUAAAAAUCUGCUCUGUUGCAUUUAUUACACAGUAUGACUUUGUACUGAAGUUGAAAAACAUUUUUUAAGAAAAUUCAAUACUGUAAUUAUGUACCUAUGUCUUAUCAUGUAAAACUUGUCCUGGCAUUUCUCAGCAUCUGAGACUAGUAAAACACUCGUUUUUAAACAAAAAUAAUUGUUAUUUUUAAAUUCUCAUAUACAUAACAUGACAUUAUAGUAUAAAAGCAACAUCUGUAAUACUGAAUAAGAGACUAUAAU
rnacentral:lncRNA from 1 species